UGUUUUCAUGCUAUUAGACUCAAAAAACCUCAAAUCGAACUACACUAGUUAAUAUAUAGAUGAAUCCACCCUUAGAUUUUGUAGGCAAUUGGUCUUUUUCCAACUUAAGCGACUUAUAUCUGAUUACUACAUUUGGCCUCAAGAUUGCAGUAAGCAGGGCGUAAUCAGUAAGGAUCAAUAUAAAGUUGAAUGUUAAACAGCUUCCAUGUAUCCUAAGACUUAGCUAGAGGCAGAGACUUUUCACAUACCUGUUAGUCGAAUCACACAAGUGUUCAAAAAUGGAGCGUACUUUCUUUUCACUUUCCACAGCCGGAGAUAAAACACAUGCCUGGAAAAUUAUCUGCGACACGCGUAAAGAGAACGACGGUGUAAAGAGCAUACUCAUUAUCCUCAAAC